UACGGGGGGAGCAAGCGUUGUUCGGAUUUACUGGGCGUAAAGGGCGCGUAGGCGGCCGGUUAAGUCGAACGUGAAAUCCCCGGGCUCAACCCGGGAACUGCGUCCGAUACUGGCAGGCUUGAAUCCGGGAGAGGGAUGCGGAAUUCCAGGUGUAGCGGUGAAAUGCGUAGAUAUCUGGAGGAACACCGGUGGCGAAGGCGGCAUCCUGGACCGGCAUUGACGCUGAGGCGCGAAAGCCAGGGGAGCAAAGCGG
rnacentral:rRNA from 1 species